rnacentral:rRNA from 1 species
UACAGAGGGUGCAAACGUUGCUCGGAAUUAUUGGGCGUAAAGCGCACGUAGGUGGCCAUGUAAGUCAGGAGUGAAAGCCCUCGGCUUAACCGGGGAAGUGCUUUUGAAACUGCAUGGCUUGAAUACUGGAGAGGGUCGCGGAAUUCCCGGUGUAGAGGUGAAAUUCGUAGAUAUCGGGAGGAAAACCAGUGGCGAAGGCGGCGACCUGGACAGAUAUUGACACUGAGGUGCGAAAGCGUGGGGAGCAAACAGG